CCAAGGCUUAUUUCAAGAAUGCAUACUCCUGAAGCUACGAAAUGCCACUGAGAAUUCCUGGUAACCUGAGAGGAGCUGAGUUGAGAGCCUGAGCACUUGAUUGUGCAGACUUAACUUCCAGACCCUAAUGUAUUGGCAGAGAGGACACUUGACUCCUAUUCAGCAGUUGGGUCUCUGUAUCCUUAGGAUGUGGAAGAACCGUCCGGACUUCCUACUCUGACUGGGAAGGAGAAGAGCUUCAAUGUCGCAGCCAAAGAACAAUAAGAAGGGACACCCCGAUUCCAUUCUAUGUACCUGUGUGAUUUCCCCAAGAUGACAGCAGGAAAGACCACAUUUUCUCAUCUCCUUCGUUCUUUCCAAGAAACCCAGCUUUUCUGGGACACAGACAGAGACCCCAGAGACCAAGGAGCCAAGCAAGAGUGUAAUUCUUUGUCCUCGAAUCGGGCUAACCCAGAAUAAAGCCAGCCAUGCUCUCCCUGUGGACUGUCUGCAGCCUUUUUAAAUAAAUGCAAUUUAGUCUGCA